UACGUAGGGGGCAAGCGUUGUCCGGAAUCAUUGGGCGUAAAGCGCGUGUAGGCGGCCCGGUAAGUCCGCUGUGAAAGUCGGGGGCUCAACCCUCGAAUGCCGGUGGAUACUGUCGGGCUAGAGUGCGGGAGAGGGUAGUGGAAUUCCCGGUGUAGCAGUGAAAUGCGUAGAGAUCGGGAGGAACACCAGUGGCGAAGGCGACUACCUGGACCAGCACUGACACUGAGGCACGAAAGCGUGGGGAGCAAACAGG
rnacentral:rRNA from 1 species